rnacentral:rRNA from 1 species
GUAGGAGGCGAGCGUUAUCCGGAUUCACUGGGCGUAAAGCGUGUGCAGGCGGUUUGGUAAGUUGGAUGUGAAAGCUCCUGGCUCAACUGGGAGAGGUCGUUCAAUACUGCCAGACUGGAGGACGGUAGAGGAGAGUGGAAUUCCCGGUGUAGUGGUGAAAUGCGUAGAUAUCGGGAGGAACACCAGUGGCGAAAGCGGCUCUCUGGGCCGUUCCUGACGCUAAGACACGAAAGCGUGGGUAGCGAACGGGAUUAGAAACCCCGGUAGUCCGCGCUGUAAACGAUGCAAACUUGGUGUUGGUGGCGUAAAAACCUUCAGUGCCGAAGCUAACGCGAUAAGUUUGCCGCCUGGGGACUACGAUCGCAAGAUUA